rnacentral:rRNA from 1 species
CCCUUAGAUGUUCUGGGCUGCACGCGCGCUACACUGAUGAAUUCAACGAGCUCCUAACCUAGGCCGAAGGGUCCGGGUAAUCUUUGAAAUUUCAUCGUGAUGGGGAUAGAUUAUUGCAAUUAUUAAUCUUCAACGAGGAAUUCCUAGUAAGCGCGAGUCAUCAGCUCGCGUUGAUUACGUCCCUGCCCUUUGUACACACCGCCCGUCGCUCCUACCGAUUGAAUGGUCCGGUGAAAUGUUCGGACCGCGACAAGGCGGACGGUUCGCUGUCAGCUUUGCUGCGGGAAGUUCAUUAAACCUUAUCAUUUAGAGGAAGGAGAAGUCGUAACA